UCCAGACUCCUACGGGAGGCAGCAGUGGGGAAUAUUGCACAAUGGGGGAAACCCUGAUGCAGCGACGCCGCGUGAGUGAAGAAGUAUUUCGGUAUGUAAAGCUCCAUCAGCAGGGAAGAUAAUGACGGUACCUGACUAAGAAGCCCCGGCUAACUACGUGCCAGCAGCCGCGGUAAUACGUAGGGGGCAAGCGUUAUCCGGAUUUACUGGGUGUAAAGGGAGCGUAGACGGCAGCGCAAGUCUGGAGUGAAAUGCCGGGGCCCAACCCCGGAACUGCUCUGGAAACUGUGAAGCUGGAGUGCAGGAGAGGUAAGCGGAAUUCCUGGUGUAGCGGUGAAAUGCGUAGAUAUCAGGAGGAACACCGGCGGCGAAGGCGGCUUACUGGACUGUAACUGACGUUGAGGCUCGAAGGCGUGGGGAGCAAACAGGAUUAGAUACCCCAGUAC
rnacentral:rRNA from 1 species